UGUUCUGGGNCGCACGCGCGCUACACUGACCNCANNNNAAAGAGUUCUUUCCCUUGGCCGGAAGGGCUGGGUAAUCUUGUNAAACUCUGNCGUGCUGGGGAUAGAGCNNNGCAAUUAUUGCUCUUCNACGAGGAAUGCCUAGUAAGCGCGNGUCAUCAGCACGCGUUGAUUACGUCCCUGCCCUUUGUACACUCCGCCCGUCGCUACUACCGAUUGAAUGGCUCAGUGAGGCCUUCGGACUGGCUCGAGGAGGUUGGCAACGACCACCUCNAGCCGGAAAGUUGGUCAAACUCGGUCAUUUAGAGGAAGUAAAAGAUCGU
rnacentral:rRNA from 1 species